rnacentral:rRNA from 1 species
AUUGAACGCUGGCGGCAGGCCUAACACAUGCAAGUCGAGCGAGCGGCGGACGGGUGCGUAAUGUCUUGGAAACUGCCUGAUGGAGGGGGAUAACUCCUGGAAACGGUAUCUAAUACCGCAUACCCUCAGAUGUGCCCCGAUGGGCUUAGCUAGUAGGUGGGGUAACGGCUCACCUAGGCGAUGAUCCCUAGCUGGUCUGAGAGGAUGACAAGCCACACUGGAACUGAGACACGGCCCAGACUCCUACGGGAGGCAGCAGUGGGGAAUAUUGGACAAUGGGCGAAAGCCUGAUGCAGCCAUGCCGCGUGUGUGAAGAAGGCCUUCGGGUUGUAAAGCACUGUCAGCGGGGAGGCGUUACCCGAAGAAGAAGCACCGGCUAACUCCGUGCCAGCAGCCGCGGUAAUAC